UUAAGCGACUAAGCGUACACGGUGGAUGCCCUGGCAGUCAGAGGCGAUGAAGGACGUGCUAAUCUGCGAUAAGCGUCGGUAAGGUGAUAUGAACCGUUAUAACCGGCGAUUUCCGAAUGGGGAAACCCAGUGUGAUUCGUCACACUAUCAUUAACUGAAUCCAUAGGUUAAUGAGGCGAACCGGGGGAACUGAAACAUCUAAGUACCCCGAGGAAAAGAAAUCAACCGAGAUUCCCCCAGUAGCGGCGAGCGAACGGGGAGGAGCCCAGAGCCUGAAUCAGUGUGUGUGUUAGUGGAAGCGUCUGGAAAGGCGCGCGAUACAGGGUGACAGCCCCGUACACAAAAAUGCACAUACUGUGAGCUCGAUGAGUAGGGCGGGACACGUGGUAUCCUGUCUGAAUAUGGGGGGACCAUCCUCCAAGGCUAAAUACUCCUGACUGACCGAUAGUGAACCAGUACCGUGAGGGAAAGGCGAAAAGAACCCCGGCGAGGGGAGUGAAAAAGAACCUGAAACCGUGUACGUACAAGCAGUGGGAGCACAGAGCAAUCUGUGUGACUGCGUACCUUUUGUAUAAUGGGUCAGCGACUUAUAUUCUGUAGCAAGGUUAACCGAAUAGGGGAGCCGAAGGGAAACCGAGUCUUAACCGGGCGUUAAGUUGCAGGGUAUAGACCCGAAACCCGGUGAUCUAGCCAUGGGCAGGUUGAAGGUUGGGUAACACUAACUGGAGGACCGAACCGACUAAUGUUGAAAAAUUAGCGGAUGACUUGUGGCUGGGGGUGAAAGGCCAAUCAAACCGGGAGAUAGCUGGUUCUCCCCCGAAAGCUAUUUAGGUAGCGCCUCGUGAAUUCAUCUCCGGGGGUAGAGCACUGUUUCGGCAAGGGGGUCAUCCCGACUUACCAACCCGAUGCAAACUGCGAAUACCGGAGAAUGUUAUCACGGGAGACACACGGCGGGUGCUAACGUCCGUCGUGAAGAGGGAAACAACCCAGACCGCCAGCUAAGGUCCCAAAGUCAUGGUUAAGUGGGAAACGAUGUGGGAAGGCCCAGACAGCCAGGAUGUUGGCUUAGAAGCAGCCAUCAUUUAAAGAAAGCGUAAUAGCUCACUGGUCGAGUCGGCCUGCGCGGAAGAUGUAACGGGGCUAAACCAUGCACCGAAGCUGCGGCAGCGACACUGUGUGUUGUUGGGUAGGGGAGCGUUCUGUAAGCCUGUGAAGGUGUGCUGUGAGGCAUGCUGGAGGUAUCAGAAGUGCGAAUGCUGACAUAAGUAACGAUAAAGCGGGUGAAAAGCCCGCUCGCCGGAAGACCAAGGGUUCCUGUCCAACGUUAAUCGGGGCAGGGUGAGUCGACCCCUAAGGCGAGGCCGAAAGGCGUAGUCGAUGGGAAACAGGUUAAUAUUCCUGUACUUGGUGUUACUGCGAAGGGGGGACGGAGAAGGCUAUGUUGGCCGGGCGACGGUUGUCCCGGUUUAAGCGUGUAGGCUGGUUUUCCAGGCAAAUCCGGAAAAUCAAGGCUGAGGCGUGAUGACGAGGCACUACGGUGCUGAAGCAACAAAUGCCCUGCUUCCAGGAAAAGCCUCUAAGCAUCAGGUAACAUCAAAUCGUACCCCAAACCGACACAGGUGGUCAGGUAGAGAAUACCAAGGCGCUUGAGAGAACUCGGGUGAAGGAACUAGGCAAAAUGGUGCCGUAACUUCGGGAGAAGGCACGCUGAUAUGUAGGUGAAGUCCCUCGCGGAUGGAGCUGAAAUCAGUCGAAGAUACCAGCUGGCUGCAACUGUUUAUUAAAAACACAGCACUGUGCAAACACGAAAGUGGACGUAUACGGUGUGACGCCUGCCCGGUGCCGGAAGGUUAAUUGAUGGGGUCAGCGCAAGCGAAGCUCUUGAUCGAAGCCCCGGUAAACGGCGGCCGUAACUAUAACGGUCCUAAGGUAGCGAAAUUCCUUGUCGGGUAAGUUCCGACCUGCACGAAUGGCGUAAUGAUGGCCAGGCUGUCUCCACCCGAGACUCAGUGAAAUUGAACUCGCUGUGAAGAUGCAGUGUACCCGCGGCAAGACGGAAAGACCCCGUGAACCUUUACUAUAGCUUGACACUGAACAUUGAGCCUUGAUGUGUAGGAUAGGUGGGAGGCUUUGAAGUGUGGACGCCAGUCUGCAUGGAGCCGACCUUGAAAUACCACCCUUUAAUGUUUGAUGUUCUAACGUGGACCCGUGAUCCGGGUUGCGGACAGUGUCUGGUGGGUAGUUUGACUGGGGCGGUCUCCUCCUAAAGAGUAACGGAGGAGCACGAAGGUUGGCUAAUCCUGGUCGGACAUCAGGAGGUUAGUGCAAUGGCAUAAGCCAGCUUGACUGCGAGCGUGACGGCGCGAGCAGGUGCGAAAGCAGGUCAUAGUGAUCCGGUGGUUCUGAAUGGAAGGGCCAUCGCUCAACGGAUAAAAGGUACUCCGGGGAUAACAGGCUGAUACCGCCCAAGAGUUCAUAUCGACGGCGGUGUUUGGCACCUCGAUGUCGGCUCAUCACAUCCUGGGGCUGAAGUAGGUCCCAAGGGUAUGGCUGUUCGCCAUUUAAAGUGGUACGCGAGCUGGGUUUAGAACGUCGUGAGACAGUUCGGUCCCUAUCUGCCGUGGGCGCUGGAGAACUGAGGGGGGCUGCUCCUAGUACGAGAGGACCGGAGUGGACGCAUCACUGGUGUUCGGGUUGUCAUGCCAAUGGCACUGCCCGGUAGCUAAAUGCGGAAGAGAUAAGUGCUGAAAGCAUCUAAGCACGAAACUUGCCCCGAGAUGAGUUCUCCCUGACCCUUUAAGGGUCCUGAAGGAACGUUGAAGACGACGACGUUGAUAGGCCGGGUGUGUAAGCGCAGCGAUGCGUUGAGCUAACCGGUACUAAUGAACCGUGAGGCUUAACCU
rnacentral:rRNA from 1 species